CUCUUAUUGGAUGAGCUGGAAAAGCUUCUGGACAAAAAACAGCAAGAAAAUAUUGACAAGAAGAAUCAGUAUAAACUUAUUCAAUGCCUCAAAGCAUUUAUGAAUAAUAAGUUUGGAUUACAAAGGAUUCUAGGAGAUGAAAGAAGUCUUUUACUAUUGGCAAGAGCAAUUGACCCCAAACAACCCAACAUGAUGACUGAAAUAGUAAAAAUACUUUCUGCUAUUUGCAUUGUUGGAGAAGAGAACAUUCUAGAUAAACUUUUAGGGGCUAUAACAACAGCAGCAGAAAGAAAUAACAGGGAACGAUUUUCACCAAUUGUGGAAGGUUUAGAAAAUCAGGAAGCCUUGCAAUUACAGGUGGCCUGCAUGCAGUUUAUA
rnacentral:lncRNA from 1 species